rnacentral:snoRNA from 1 species
GUUCAGGGGGUACAGGGCUGGCCCUGGAAUCAGGAAGACCUGCAUUCAAAUCUGGUCUCUGACACGUACUAGCUGUGUGACCCUGGGCAAGUUAAUUAACUUUGUCUGCCUCAGUUUCCUCAACUAUAAAAUGGGGAUAAUAAUAGCACCUAUCUUCCAGGUUGUUAUGAGGAUCAAAU